GACGAACGCUGGCGGCGUGCUUAACACAUGCAAGUCGAACGGAAAGGCCCUGCUCUUGUGGGGUGCUCGAGUGGCGAACGGGUGAGUAACACGUGAGUAACCUGCCCUUGACUUUGGGAUAACUCCAGGAAACUGGGGCUAAUACCGGAUAGGAGCUCCUGCUGCAUGGUGGGGGUUGGAAAGAUUCGGCGGUUGGGGAUGGACUCGCGGCUUAUCAGCUUGUUGGUGGGGUAGUGGCUUACCAAGGCUUUGACGGGUAGCCGGCCUGAGAGGGUGGCCGGCCACAUUGGGACUGAGAUACGGCCCAGACUCCUACGGGAGGCAGCAGUGGGGAAUAUUGCACAAUGGGCGGAAGCCUGAUGCAGCAACGCCGCGUGCGGGAUGACGGCCUUCGGGUUGUAAACCGCUUUCGCCUGUGACGAAGCGUGAGUGACGGUAAUGGGUAAAGAAGCACCGGCUAACUACGUG
rnacentral:rRNA from 1 species